AGAGUUUGAUUAUGGCUCAGGAUGAACGCUGGCGGCUGCCUAAUACAUGCAAGUCGAACGGAGAGCUAGCAAUAGCACUUAGUGGCGAACGGGUGAGUAACGCGUUGGUGACCUGCCCCGAAGAGGGGAUAACAGUUCGAAAGGACUGCUAAUACCCCAUAAUGUCCGGCUAGUUAGAGAGGCUGGACGAAAGGGAGAAAUCCGCUUUGGGAGGGGCCUGCGUCCCAUCAGCUAGUUGGUAAGGUAAAAGCUUACCAAGGCGAAGACGGGUAGGGGGCCUGAGAGGGUGAUCCCCCACACUGGCACUGAAACACGGGCCAGACACCUACGGGUGGCAGCAGUAGGGAAUAUUGCACAAUGGGCGAAACGUGAUGCAGCAACGCCGCGUGCGCGAAGAAGGCCUUCGAGUUGUAAAGCGCUUUUCGGGGAGAUGAGGAAGGACAGUAUCCCCGGAAUAAGGCUCGGCUAACUACGUGCCAGCAGCCGCGGUAACACGUAGGAGCCAAGCGUUAUCCGAAUUCACUGGGCGUAAACGCGUGUAGGCGGCUCGGUAAGUUGGAUGUGAAAUCUCCUGGCUCAACUGGGAGAGGACGUUCAAUACUGUCGGGCUAGAGGACGGCAGAGGGAGGUGGAAUUCCCGGUGUAGUGGUGAAAUGCGUAGAUAUCGGGAGGAACACCAGUGGCGAAGCGGGCCUUCUGGGCAAACCCUGACGCUCAGACGCGAAAGCUAGGGGAGCAAACGGGAUUAGAAACCCCGGUAGUCCUAGCCGUAAACGAUGUAGACUUGGUGUGGGUGGUGUAAAAGCCAUCUGUGCCGAAGCAAACGCGAUAAGUCUACCGCCUGGGGACUACGGCCGCAAGUUUAAAACUCAAAGGAAUUGACGGGGGCCCGCACAAGCAGCGGAGCGUGUGGUUUAAUUCGAUGUUACACGAAGAACCUUACCUGGGUUUGACAUGCAAGUGGUAGGGAACUGAAGGGGGACCGACUUCGGGGAGCUUGCACAGGUGCUGCAUGGCUGUCGUCAGCUCGUGUCGUGAGAUGUCCGGUUAAGUCCGGUAACGAGCGCAACCCCUGCUGUAUGUUACAAGUGUCAUACGGGACUGCCGGUAUAAAGCCGGAGGAAGGUGGGGAUGACGUCAAGUCAGCAUGGCCUUUAUGCCCAGGGCUACACACACGCUACAAAGGUCAGGACAAUGGGUAGCAAAGCCGCGAGGUGGAGCCAAUCCUGAAACUUGGCCACAGUUCAGAUGUCAGGCUGCAACCCGCCUGCAUGAAGCUGGAGUUGCUAGUAACCGCGCGUCAGCUAUAGUGCGGUGAAUACGUUCCCGGGCCUUGUACACGCCGCCCGUCACGUCAUGGGAGCUGGCAACACCUGAAGCCGGUAUCCUAACCGAAAGGAAGGAGCCGUCGAAGGUGGGGCUGGUGACUGGGACGAAGUCGUAUCAAGGUAGGUGUACCGGAAGGUGCGCCUGGAUCACCUCCUUUCU
rnacentral:rRNA from 1 species